rnacentral:rRNA from 1 species
GAGCUGGCAUCAGGCACACCCCCGGGUAGCCCAAAACGCCUUGCUAAGCCACACCCCCAAGGGAAUUCAGCAGUAAUUAAUAUUAGGCCAUAAGCGAAAGCUUGACUUAAUUAGAGUUAAUAAAGAGCCGGUAAAACUCGUGCCAGCCACCGCGGUUAUACGAGAGGCUCAAAUUGAUAUUCCACGGCGUAAAGCGUGAUUAAAGAAAAUAAAUACUAAAGCCGAACACCUCCUUAACUGUUAUACGUUUAAAGAGACACGAAGCCCCAUAACGAAAGUAGCUUUAACCCAAAAUCUUGAACUCACGAAAGUUAAGAAACAAACUGGGAUUAGAUACCCCACUAUGCUUAACCGUAAACAACGACGGAAAUUUACAAAUACCGCCCGCCAGGGAAUUACGAACACUAGUUUAAAACCCAAAGGACUUGGCGGUGCUUCAAAACCCCCUAGAGGAGCCUGUCCUAUAACCGAUAAUCCCCGUUUAACCUCACCACUCCUUGCCAACUCAGUUUAUAUACCACCGUCGCCAGCUUACCCCCUGAGGGUAUAACAGUAAGCUAAAUGGGCCCCCACCCAGCACGUCAGGUCGAGGUGUAGCGAACGCAGUGGGAAGAGAUGGGCUACAUUUUCUGAAACAGAACAUUACGAAAGGUGUCAUGAAACAGAACACAAUUGAAG